AGCUGCGUGGCGCAGUGGAAGCGCGGUAAGUUCUCAAAGCUCAAAAAUUCACAAGUUAACCUUGUACUGACAAAUCACAAUAGCCGGGCUCAUAACCCGGAGGUCCUCCGAUCGAAACGGAGCGCAGCUA